CACGUAGGGUGCGAGCGUUGUCCGGAAUUAUUGGGCGUAAAGAGCUCGUAGGCGGUGUGUCGCGUCGGCCGUGAAAACCUGCAGCUUAACUGUGGGCUUGCGGUCGAUACGGGCAUCACUGGAGUUCGGCAGGGGAGACUGGAAUUCCUGGUGUAGCGGUGAAAUGCGCAGAUAUCGGGAGGAACACCAGUGGCGAAGGCGGCUCUCUGGGCCCUACCUGACGCUGAGACGCGAAAGCGUGGGGAGCGAACCGG
rnacentral:rRNA from 1 species